UACGUAGGUGGCAAGCGUUGUCCGGAUUUACUGGGCGUAAAGAGCGCGCAGGCGGUCGGAUUAGUCGCGUGUGAAAGCCCCCGGCUCAACUGGGGAGGGUCACGCGAUACUGUUCGACUCGAAGGCAGGAGAGGGAAGUGGAAUUCCCGGUGUAGUGGUGAAAUGCGUAGAUAUCGGGAGGAACACCAGUGGCGAAGGCGACUUCCUGGCCUGUUCUUGACGCUGAGGCGCGAAAGCCAGGGGAGCAAACGGG
rnacentral:rRNA from 1 species